rnacentral:misc_RNA from 1 species
CGGGGCCUUGGUUGGAUACCUCCUUACCUAAGAUACGCAUUAUUAUUGUCCCACAGAUUGUCUGAUAAAAAUUAUGAAGAAGAACUCCCGUUGAGGGUUGAGGGUCACGUGGCUCUGAUGCACAAAGGGCCAGGGUGCGGACGUGGGCUGAAGUCCAAUUUUGGCGACCCCUUCUUUCCUAGGCCAAGGACAAAGCCCUUUCAUGGUUGCAACACGGAUUAGAGUCCACUUGUCUGUCCAUUACGAUAAUGGGUUAAAGACCUUAUCCCCGUUUCUGUGAAACCAAAAUACCUAAAAGAUGGUCUCAUUCUGCGUGUUUAAAUUAUGGUUCUUUACCUUUUGGAGUAAUUUAAAGUUGAACCCCCCCCCUUGUAACUUUCUCCUCCUUUUUGACCUGUGGUAAACAUCCCUUGUUUGGACUUUCCCAAUACUCCUUUACCUCUUCCUAUCACUAUCGAGAUAACAGGUACAC